CUCCCCUUUGCAGAUAAAACAGCUUCCACUCUUCUGGGAAGACUUUCCACAAGAUUUUGGAGUGUUUCUGUGGGAAUAUUUGCCUAUUCAUCCAGUAGAGCACUUGUGAUGUCAGGCACUGAUAUUGGACAAGGCGGCCUGGCUUGCAAUCCCCGUUCUAGUUCAUCCAAAAGGUGUUUGAUGGGGUUGAGGUCUGGGUACUGUGAUAAGUCAAGUUCUUCCACACCAAACUUAUCC